ensembl:lncRNA MIR99AHG mir-99a-let-7c cluster host gene
GUCUAGGGGAGAGCCUGUAGGUACUCCAUUGUCUGAUGGAUCUGAGAACGCUGUCUGGGCUUGGUACCAAGAGCUGGUAUUUCACAGCAGCGACCGCCUCACAGACGAGCUGUGGGAAGCAGGAGGGAGACUCUCUCUUAGGGUGCCACUACUAUGGAGACACAGCUGGGCUGAACAAGAUUUGCUUCAAACGACAACAAGAGAGACAGAAAGUAUCUGGUUCAACCGCUGCCCGAGCAGGCAGGCACCAGAAGAGCUAGCAGCCAAUCCGGCCAUGCUCGAAGCCAGCUCUGCAGCUCAGCCAAUCAGUGACAUCAUUGCUUUCUUUAGCUUGCCCAUGGUGAUGUGAAGAUGAGAAGAAAUAGCAAGGCCCAACCAGUUCUUCAUCUGGAGACAGUUCAACGUUCUGCAAACCAGAUCUUCAGGAAUUUUACUGGGAUAAUUAUCCAAAUAAAUUGCAAGCAUUCUAUCCAAAUGGAGCUCUUUCUGAGAUGAAGAGAAUUCUCAAUGUCAAGAUUUGAACAAGAAGAGAAUGGAAUACACAAUAUGGACAUCCAUAAAAAUUCAUCAGAGAGCAUUUUACUACUGAGCUGCAAAGGGAAAAACUUAAAAUGGAUAUGAAAAGUGAAGAAAGUGAUCAUAGGAGAAAACCAUUUCAGAUAUCUGUGGAUAUCUCUCCAGAACUUCAUGUAUAUUUGGAUAAAAGAAAGCUUCGGGCUUUGUAUUUCUUGAAAACCAAGAAAAUUGUAGAAGUUGGAUGCCUGAGGUUUGGAUAAAUUACUGCUUUCACAAGUCAGAUUCCUUUAAAACUGGUUGGGGAUUUUGAGAAUGCAUCCAAUGUAUCUGCUCCUGCUCUAGUGAAGAAGUCCUCGGCUGCUGCUACUCAGGACAAAAUCAUCAUGGUGCAUGGAAGAAACCAGUAAAAGGACCCGUAAAUAUUAGAUUUUUCUGACUUGUUCACUUGCCUCUUCCUCCUUCCCAUAAGUGUACUCUUUUUUUUAGGGUCUAUGUGCAAGCAGUUUUUUUUAAAUAUAAUCAUAAAAGUUGCUUUUUCAAAGGAGUCUAAAAUGCAUUUCAUAUUUGUCAUUGUUUUCUUUAAAUCUAGAACUCUUUUGGAAGGGAUAUGUAACUUGAGAUGGCAUUGUUAUAGUUUGGAAACUGUAUUCAUCUGCUUCUUCAACUCAAAAUAACAGUGCCUUCAGAUCCUGAAAA